CUGCAUUUCUAGAGAACAAGUGUAUGAACUAAAUAUUACAAAAAAGCAUUUUUCUUAAAAAAUAACUUCCCAACACUAAUGUGAACUUACCAACACUAGUUAAAUAAUUUCCAAGUAAAUAGGCAUAUGUGAAUUACACAAGAUCUAAGUCUGCCUUCAUAAACAUUGCAAUUUGAGAACCAUAUUUUUCUGAAACAUCCAUUUAGAAAACAUCUGGUACAAGGUCAUGAGCAAUUAUUCAAGUAUAGCUUCUGCAAGGAUCCAUCUCCAUCACUCCAUGAUGAAUAUACAUCCCCAAUUUAUUAUGUCACCGACAAAACCAAUUCACAUGAAUGCAUUAAGUAUGCUCCUAUUAUACACUGAGCCUAAGAAAUGCCAAUUCCUUGCACUAAUCCACCCCCGUCUCAAACCACAACACCCCCCCACCCCAAAAAAAAACAACUCUUCUCUCUGUCCAAAGAAAAGUGAAAAGGAGAAAGGAAAGGGGUGGGAAGAGGAGGGAAGUAGGAGGGGAAAGAAUUGUGUUUGUGUAUAUAUAUAUAUAGAGAGA
rnacentral:misc_RNA from 1 species